rnacentral:rRNA from 1 species
GUGGGGAAUAUUGGGCAAUGGGGGCAACCCUGACCCAGCGACGCCGCGUGAGGGAAGACGGCCUUCGGGUUGUAAACCUCUUUUGUACGGGAAGAAGGAAGUGACGGUACUGUACGAAUAAGUCCCGGCUAACUACGUGCCAGCAGCCGCGGUAAUACGUAGGGGACGAGCGUUGUCCGGAAUUACUGGGCGUAAAGGGCGCGCAGGCUGUGCUGCAAGUCAGCUGUGAAAUGUCUGGGCUUAACCCGGGCAUGCGGUUGAGACUGCAGUGCUGGAGUGCUGUAGAGGCAAGUGGAAUUCCCAGUGUAGCGGUGAAAUGCGUAGAUAUUGGGAAGAACACCGGUGGCGAAGGCGACUUGCUGGGCAGCAACUGACGCUGAGGCGCGAAAGCCAGGGGAGCAAACGGGAUUAGAAACCCCUGUAGUCC